rnacentral:sRNA from 1 species
GAAGAAAUGAGUGAAGAUGAAGAACGAGAAAAUGAAAACCACCUCUUGGUUGGUUCAACUUUUCCAGUUCCAGAGUCACGGUUCGACCGAGAUUCCGGGGAGAGUGAAGAAGCAGAGGAAGAAGUGGGUGAGGGGACGCCGCAGAGCAGCGCCCUGACAGAGGGCGACUAUGUGCCCGACUCCCCCGCCCUGUCGCCCAUCGAGCUCAAGCAGGAGCUGCCCAAGUACCUGCCGGCCCUGCAGGGCUGCCGGAGUGUCGAGGAGUUUCAGUGCCUGAACAGGAUCGAGGAGGGCACCUAUGGAGUGGUCUACAGAGCAAAAGACAAGAAAACAGAUGAAAUUGUGGCUCUAAAGCGGCUGAAGAUGGAGAAGGAGAAGGAGGGCUUCCCGAUCACGUCACUGAGGGAGAUCAACACCAUCCUCAAGGCCCAGCAUCCCAACAUCGUCACCGUUAGAGUGAGCAUGGCCCCACCACGCCUGGCCCCCUGUGGAAGGCUUUUCCGACAGGGCCCCGUGCUGUCCUGGGGCCGGGUGCUUCCUACACUCCCCUGCGCUUAGUGGAGCCCUUCACAGACCACACAGAAGCAAGCAUUUGCCUCCCAGGUGGCACCGGAGGUCCUUACUGUCCCUCAGCAUCUGCGCCCGGGUGCAGGGGUGGGCGGGGGCCUGGAGGUGCCCAGCACCCACAGAGCCGUGCCCUGCAGGAGAUCGUGGUGGGCAGCAACAUGGACAAGAUCUACAUCGUGAUGAAC